AAAAAGAUGGCCAAAUUGGUCUAAAGUGCCACGUUAAAGCUGUGGUCUCUUCAGAGGCGUGAUUUUGAAUCUCACUCUUUUCA